GCCGGGCGUGGUGGCCACACCUAUAAUCCCAGCUGCUCAGGAGGCUGAGGCAGGAGGAUCACAAGUUUGAAGCCAGCCUCAG
rnacentral:sRNA from 1 species